CGCCCUCUUGUUUUUGUGUGAGUUUUUUCAUGCUAAAAAGUAGAAGUCAGCCCUCUUCUCAACACCCCAAGGAUGGAAUAAUAUCCGGGUCAAAUUUGAUUUGAAACUAAUAAGGAAUGAUCCUUAUCUUGGAAGGUUUCAUCCCAUCCAAACUUCGUAACUGCCUCCUAUUAGGAUAUCCUUCUUUUGUGUGAUAAAAGAAGGGAUAUCA
rnacentral:lncRNA from 1 species